CAGUCGCCGCGGUAAUACAGAGGGUGCAAGCGUUAAUCGGAAUUACUGGGCGUAAAGCGCGCGUAGGUGGUUUGUUAAGUUGGAUGUGAAAUCCCCGGGCUCAACCUGGGAACUGCAUCCAAAACUGGCAAGCUAGAGUAUGGUAGAGGGUGGUGGAAUUUCCUGUGUAGCGGUGAAAUGCGUAGAUAUAGGAAGGAACACCAGUGGCGAAGGCGACCACCUGGACUGAUACUGACACUGAGGUGCGAAAGCGUGGGGAGCAAACAGGAUUAGAUACCCCGGUAGUCCCUGUCUCUUAUAC
rnacentral:rRNA from 1 species